rnacentral:lncRNA from 1 species
AAAUCUAUAUUUACAUUCAACUGGUAUAAUUUUUCUAUUUUGAAAUCUUUCUGGUGAAACAACAAUUGUUGCAGUUGAACUUUGCAACAGUUGUCAAAGCACAUGUGACAUUCAUACAUGUAAACAUCAAAAUAAUUCUGUGUUAAAUCCACAAGCAGAGGAAGCUGUAACAGAUAAUCAGAACUAGUUUAAAACAAAGGUCAGUUUUAUUUUGUUGAUAAUGAUCAUGAGUGGUUUCUUUUACUUUGAAAAGUUUUCACUGCAAAUAACAGGAAAUGACUCAAAGCAUAGAUAAUAUCAAACUAGAAGCAGAAUAAGAAAUAAACUAAAGAUGCCACACUGCAUAAUGAUAAAUACUUUAAAUCAUGUUUAAAAAAAUUUCUUAGAAGACCUUGAAUGAGGGACUAUCAUUCUGUUUCAAAGCUUGACCAUUAAAAACUACAUAUAUUUCAUUUCAUAAAAUUUCCUAAUUACUGGCACAGUGGAGAUGGCCUUUAAACUUGAUAAAAGUUUCACAUGCUGACAUACAUAUUUUAAAACAUAAACUUAGAACUCUUAAAAACUAGUUUCAAAGAGUGUAAGGAUAGGCAUUUAAAAGGCACAUUUCACAUAAAAUUUGUUUUAGCAGUAAGUAUAGAAUUUUUAAUUUUCCAUAAUUAGUUUUUAGGAGCACACUAUUUUUAUGAAUGAACUGAAAUUUUUUUCUUUUCUUCUUUUUCCUUUUGUGUGAGUGUUUGUGUGUGUGUGUGUGUGGGGGGGGGGUACCAGAGAUUGAAUCCAGGGUCUCAUGCAUGCUAGGCAAGCACUCUGCCACUGAGCUACAACCCAAAUUCCACAAACAUUAUGGAACAUAUAUAUACAUGCUAUAGGCUAUAUAAAUUCAUGUUUAUAUGUUAUUAUAAAAUGCCAAAUAUAGGCAAAACAAAUAAAACCCUAAGGUAAUAAGUGGAAUUAUAUUCUAAAUCUAUAUUUACAUAUAUUUAACACAAGUGUUAAAACAAUAAAAUCAAAUAACCAUUUUAGUUUGGAAUAAAUGUAUAGACAUUUCGGAAUAAUUUAAAGCCAUGAAUUUUAUAACAAUAUACAGUCAAACCUCGAUAUUCUCUCUAUGGGUUGCUGAAAUCAGAAUUUUGUUUAAAGUUCCUUUCAUGAAAUUUAUAAGGAAAAGACCCCUAAGGAAUAUUAAACAUUUUUUACUGCUAUCUUUUAAAAUCAAGUAAUUUUAAAAAGUGAAUGUUUUAGUUUUCUUAUCAGAAAAGCACAUAUGCCCUAAAGAAUAAUUAGCGCUUCAGAAUUUAAUAACAGAAACUAUAAAUGUUAAGUUAAUCAGCUUAAUAUCAAUGAAAGAAUCUCAAUACUAUAAAUAAUUUCCAUUAAAUUUACUUAUACUUUUGGUACAAAUAGAAAUAUUUCUUCAAAAAAACACUAUACUAGGGAAAAUGAAAAUUUAAUUUAGGAUAUUAUUCAGAUAUAGAGAGUGCAAAUCCUCUCUCAAAUGUAUCUUGUAUAGAAAAAUAACCCUGAAUAUGUUAUGAAUAUAGACUGAUGAAAGUAAUUUUCAUAUUUGUUUUUAUAAAAGCAAAUCUUACUACUUUGAAAGUUCAUCAUGGCCAGAGAAUGGUUGUGCACUCCUGUAAUCUCAGAAUUCUGGGAGGCUGAGGCAGGAGGAUCCAAGCCAGCCUCAGCAACUUAGUGAGACCCUAAGCAACUUAGUGAGCCCUUUUCUCAAAAUAAAAAAUAAAAAGGGCUGGGGAUGUGACUCAGUGGUUAAGCACCCCUGGGUUCAAUCCCUGGUACAAAAAAAAAAAAAAAAGUUCACCAUGUAAUACAGUUAAAUAAUUUGUUUAGAAGGAAAAACACUUCUGUAAGUGAGCAAAAUGUGUCAAUGCUGGGUUGGGGCAGAUUUGGGGUAGAAGGGAAGAUUCUGAUACUGCCAUGAGCAAUCAGUAGUCAACACCAGGAAUCAGGGCGGACUGAGUGAGAGAAUCCAGAAAGCUUUCUAGCAAGAGGGAGCAGGCAGAAAGUCAAUGACAGAGGGCAGAGAAUUCCAUAGGAGUUGAGGACAAGGAUGUGAACGUUUUAGUUUUUGAUUUUCUGAUGGCCUCCUCCAUGAAACUCUUUCUCCUAUCUUUCUGACACUGCAUUCUCUUGGUUUGUGCCUUAUUUCUUCAAUAAUCCUUUUGCACCUGUAGUUUCAAAUUGACAUCCCCAGCUAUGCUGUGAUGAUUUUCAUAUCUCAACAUUUGUUUACUAGAUAUUUCUAGUUGGUAGUUUGUCAAUACUUAAAAUUCAACCUAUUGAAAGCAAAACACUUAAAAUUGAGAAUCCAGAGGAUCAUGUAUCAGUGUCAGUGAAAUAAAUAUAGCAGUUUUCUACUUUCAUUUGGGGAAUUUUCUGAGGAUCCUAAAGGGACAAGAGCCAGUUCCCAAAGGAUACCCAGACUUUUUAGAUGGUAAAAUGAGACAUAAGGUGUGUAGAAUAUGCUUGACAAAUGUUUGGAAAGAAUGUUACAUUUAUACAUUGUCUUUUUUCCUUAAGCACUCAAAGUUUGUGUAUGUCUCAUUCUUGUAUGAGCAAAGCAUAUAUAAAUUCCUCCUUUACCAUACUGGAACAGAUGCGAAGUAAAGUUAACUAUCUGUGUAUCCAGAAGAAGUAAUUCAGGGUUUAAAUACCCAGUCUCCUGUAUAUCCAGGAGUAAGCAUAUCAUGAAAGCAGAAAAGGAGUCUGGCAGAUUUCUAGAACAUGAACAGAUGAAGGGAGUGUAUAGAAGAGUCAUAAGAAGUCAGGUUAAAGAAACAUAUGAGAUAGAUUUACAGUGUGCCUUAACUGAUACAAAAGAAUUUGGAAUUUUUCUAUACAGGUAGUGUUGAAAUCAUUUUAAAAGCCAUAAAAUACUUUUUUGAAAAAUAAGAAAUCUGGGCUGGGGUUGUGGCUCAGUGGUAGAGCACUUGCCUAGCACAUGUGAGGCACUGGGUUUGAUCCUCAGCCCCACAUAAAAACAAAUAAAAUAAAGGUAUUGUUUUCAUCUAAUCUACAACUAAAAAGAAGAAGAACAAGGAGGAGUUUGGGGUUGGGGAGAAGAGGAGGAAAUCUUAUGAGACACCAAUGUGCAAAACUAUUUGGGUAUAAUUAUUUAAAAGGAGGUGGUUUCUGUAAUUGAAGCCAGUCCCCCUUCUUGCCCCUCAGCCUCUGAACAGAAGAGUUUGAAAACUACUGCUGUGAGUGCUGACAUGUUGUGGACAAGGUGACUUGUUAUAUGGCCUAGAAAGCAGGUGGAACCCACCAUAGAGGCAGACAACAGAGGCCUAUCAGCCAGGGCUCCCUGUGGAAAAGAAGUUAGAAGACACAUGUAGAGAGAGACAGGAAUGGGAGGGUGAUUCACAUUUAAGCCACUGUGAAAGGUGACAGUGCAAUUACAAAACUGGCAAAAGAAGCAGCUACUCAUUUUGAUAAAAUACAAUGUUCGAUUUUGAAUGUGUUUUAGCCAGUUAGACAAUUGCAUACACUAUUCUAUGGUUGAAAAAAGGAGAAGGCAGCAUCCCACCCCCCACGCCCCCAUCAAUUUCU